rnacentral:rRNA from 1 species
AGAUUAAGUUAUUAAGGGCGCACGGUGGAUGCCUUGGCACUAGAAGCCGAUGAAGGACGUUACUAACGACGAUAUGCUUUGGGGAGCUGUAAGUAAGCUUUGAUCCAGAGAUUUCCGAAUGGGGAAACCCAGCAUGAGUUAUGUCAUGUUAUCGAUAUGUGAAUACAUAGCAUAUCAGAAGGCACACCCGGAGAACUGAAACAUCUUAGUACCCGGAGGAAGAGAAAGAAAAUUCGAUUCCCUUAGUAGCGGCGAGCGAAACGGGAAGAGCCCAAACCAACAAGCUUGCUUGUUGGGGUUGUAGGACACUCUAUACGGAGUUACAAAGGACGACAUUAGACGAAUCAUCUGGAAAGAUGAAUCAAAGAAGGUAAUAAUCCUGUAGUCGAAAAUGUUGUCUCUCUUGAGUGGAUCCUGAGUACGACGGAGCACGUGAAAUUCCGUCGGAAUCUGGGAGGACCAUCUCCUAAGGCUAAAUACUCUCUAGUGACCGAUAGUGAACCAGUACCGUGAGGGAAAGGUGAAAAGCACCCCGGAAGGGGAGUGAAAUAGAACCUGAAACCGUGUGCUUACAAGUAGUCAGAGCCCGUUAAUGGGUGAUGGCGUGCCUUUUGUAGAAUGAACCGGCGAGUUACGAUUUGAUGCAAGGUUAAGCAGUAAAUGUGGAGCCGUAGCGAAAGCGAGUCUGAAUAGGGCGUUUAGUAUUUGGUCGUAGACCCGAAACCAGGUGAUCUACCCUUGGUCAGGUUGAAGUUCAGGUAACACUGAAUGGAGGACCGAACCGACUUACGUUGAAAAGUGAGCGGAUGAACUGAGGGUAGCGGAGAAAUUCCAAUCGAACCUGGAGAUAGCUGGUUCUCUCCGAAAUAGCUUUAGGGCUAGCCUCAAGUGAUGAUUAUUGGAGGUAGAGCACUGUUUGGACG